UCGGGAUUGGUGUGGCAGCAUGGUGGCAGGUAUGCGAAGAUUGCUGGGCAUAGAAAGUUGAUAUUUUCGUAAAAUCCCACUUUUUGUACGGCUCAACAUCAAGAUAUGGUGUGUUCAAUAUAUAAGGGACCUACGGUUUGAAUUUGGUUAAGAGUGUUAAGAAGCAGUGGUGUUUAUUUUCAUGAAGAGUAUAUAAAAAUUGGUAACAACACAAGAAUACCAGAUGCUGAGUGGUAUGUUGGCAAGCAGGCAGAUAGACAUAGUGACAAGUUAAGUAGCAGUGGUGUUGAGCUUAACGAAAAAUGCUUUGAUUCUUUUCAUUUAUUUGCAUAUUCCACCAGACCAGCAGUCCUCAUUACAAGGCAGAGAAAUGAUGAAUAUUC